UUUUUUUUUUUUUUUUUUGUGGAAACUAUAGAUGAAUUUUAUAGCAAACCAAACUUUACAAUAUUUGAGCAACGACUCAACCACCUAUACAAAGUGUACUAUGACACUAAGAAGAGACAAAAAUUCUCUCUUCAUCCAAAAAUAUGCUUAGAACAUAACGACUAAUACUUUGACAUAGAGAUAUAUUACUAUUUUUUCCUAUUUCAAAAAAGCACAUUUGAAACCGAUUAGCUAGAGCAAGUAUAUCUUCCACUAACGUGACUGUGUUCGGAUUGUCUCCUUUCCCACUCUUCAGCAUAGCAAUAAGAUGUUGAUUGGCAUUUAUGACUUUAAUCCUGUGCCAACCAAGCUGCCUUACUUUGAUGAGUGCCAAUCGCACUGCUGUAGCGUCAUCUUGUAUUGCCAGUUGCGAAGUUCUGUCCACUAGCGCCCAGUCAGCUAUAAUUCUUGUUCCAUUCAGCUUGGCCACAACGCCAAUUCCCAUCUUGUGUCCCUCGGUUGCUUUCUGUGUUGCAAUGUGAAGUUCCACCAAGUCCCUUACCUCCAUUCCUUCCUCCCUUUGCCUUGCAUGUGCUGCAACUGUUUCUGAUGUACUCCUAUCUUCCUUUCCUGUACCAGCUUCCUCAAACUCCAUCCACUCAAUACUUGCCUUUUGCACUACUUUAAGUCCAUCCUUCUCUUUCCCUUCAAAUUCCAGCUCAUUCCUAUCCUUCCAUAGCUGCCAAAGUAUGUUAGCAGUCAAAGCUAAAUGCUGUUUGCCUUCCUUCCUACUCCUAGCUUGAGUUAAAGCUGCCCACCACUGCUUAAAACAACCUGUUUGAGUCUGAAUGCCGUCCCAUUGAACUGGUGCAAGCUUCCAUACCUUCUGAGCCUGUGCACAAUGAAACAGAAUGUGUUCCACCGUUUCUAUCUUGUCUCCACAUCUCAAGCAGCAUGGUGUGCCCUGUUUCGUUCUCCUGAAUAUUGUUUCCCUUGCUGUUAAUGUGUUAGUGAUACACCUCCAAAUGAAUAGCUUAAUCUUAUGCUUGAUAUUCAGACCCCAAAGAGUUCUCCAAAUUUGGGUGGUGGAGUCAUCAUAACUAAUUUGCUAUCUUGUGCUUUUGUUAAUUGUUGUAGCUGUGCUUCUGUCUGUAUAUCGAAAAUGCCUGAGUUCGGAGCUCGGCUAUGGUUUCGCUUGCUUCUAACUUGCAAUUCUUUCUUCAUGCUUGAGAAAUAUAUUUGAACAGCAUUGUUGUCAUAACGGUUGAAAUUGACAAAAGGAUCAAUAGUUUACACUUUUGAUAGAUCGAGGGUUAAAACUUCACACAGGUAAAAAUUCGAGAGAUACUUUUUACCCUUUUCUUUACACGUAAUCUUUUUCUCUCCACAAGUGAUCUACCUUAAUUAUCCACGAAAUAGUAUAUGCCAACAAGAUUUUUAAAGAUACAUAUCAUUUAAGUAUUGUUUGAUAAAUAAGAAAAAUGUGAUAAUAUAUGGCUAAAUAAUAGAACUCUUCCUUUUUUGAGAAGUAACUGUCUACUAGUAGCCAAACAAAGAGAGAAAAAAUACAAAAAACUAGGACUAUUUCAUUUUAAAGCUUCGGAUGCAGCAUAGGCACAGAAAAAAAAUUGGAUCAUCCAUCCCAAUCAUGGCUUAAUUACAUUAUGAUGUUACGAUUUUUAAAGAAAAUACUAUAAUGAGUAUCAGUUCUAAUUGCCUUCCUGUUUCAGAAGGGCACCAGUAGAAUUCUACCAUUUGGUAAAAGGAUCAUUAAUGCACUAUUUUCUACAUAAUACUUUCUGAGAAAAACAUCAUCAGAUCCUAUAAAAGCACUUGAAAGCAGGAAGCAUACAGGCUGCAAUUGCAAAUGAAACAGAUAAAAAGAAACUUUACAGGUAACAGGAAACUUUUGCAGCUGUUUCACAAUAAUACCAUCAUCCUCGCGUACAAGCCUGUAUUAACACUAAGGUAACAAUGACAAUGCAGAUAAAGGGUCUGAUCCAAAAAUCGGACAAGGAAACUUAACUGAAAUGUGUUAUAAUAUAGAUAUGUUUCAAGCUAGAAGGGAAAGUGAAAUGCAGAAUAUCCAAAC
rnacentral:lncRNA from 1 species